UUCCAGAUAGAGUCACAUGGAAGUGUUUUCUGGAUUCGAACCAUGAUCCUCCUGAUCUCUGCCUCCCGAGUAGCUUGGAUACAUGCAUGAGUCACUCGUUCCUGGGUAAUCACUUUGAUCAGUAUGAAGAAGGACAUUUGGAAAUUGAACAAGCUUCUCUUGACAAGCCUAUAGAAUCGCAGUUGGCCCAUAUUAGCUAAGCAGCCAUGAUCUGGUUUGUAUUGCACGGUCUGCCUUUUUUUUUAAUUUCUUCUCAAGGGUUUCUUUCUCCCCCACCUCCCUUUCUUACUUCUGUCCUUCUGGUCCAGUGAACACUGCAUAUAGUACUUUCUGUCUUAAUGUGCUGGCAUGUUGCUAGACUUAGGCAUGGCAGUAAUUGAUGACGCAUGUGAUAAUGCUGCAGAGGGAGAAUUCAUAUCUGAUAUGGUGCUGAAAGUCCAGUCUAGUGUUUUGACAUAAGAAUGAAAUGCCAGUCCCACAUUACUAAGUUAAAAUUCACUGAAAUUUGUGCCUUGUUCUGUAUCAUUUUGGGGAUUAUUACCAGGCAGAAUUUCAUACUGAAAUCCAUAGGCAAAUCAGUAUCUUGUACUUAAAAUAAUUUAAUUUUUCUGUUUUAAUUUGACUAGGUUUCUUUGGGUGAAAGUUUAAGAAUAAACCAUCAGCAGCAGGUCCCCAGUGCCAUAUUUUAUAAGGUGCAUGACUUGUUAAUAUUCCUGUAGAAGUUAUAAUUCUGUUGAAUACUCUUGACUUGCCAGUAACAGGAAAUUUAAUUAGCCUGAAUUUGCAGUCUACUAUUCAUUAUUGUUAAUUUAACAGACUUUUUUUUUUAAAGCACUAAAUGAUAUUUAACAUUUCUGAAGCCUUCUUUUAGGGCCACAUUGUUUAAGAGUUUUUUAAAAUUCAUUCCUGUGGCCUGCUAAUUUACCCCAUUGUCCACAGGUUCUAGCAUGUGUCGUUGGAAGAGUACUAUGAGAAGACAGUCUGAUUGAAUAAUCAUUGUCGAGUAAUCUCAAUGAGUAGGAGAAUUUACAUGUGCCUUAUUUACUAAGUUAUGUUAUCUUUUCCAUUUAAAAUAGCCAGUAGUAUAGUACUGACUAGAUAUUUAACUUUUUUAUAAUGUAUACCCAGAGAUGUAUAUUAUAUUAAUAAAUAUAUAUAUAUAUAUACUACUAUUGAAAAUUUACUUCUGAAGCGCAUAUGCAUUAUUUGUCAUAUGGUAGCUUACGUAGUAGUAAUAGCAGGAGCUUUAUAACCUACAAUGUGUUAAAUAGAAGUGGGACUCAAAAGAUAAAGAGGGUUCUUAUUUCUGCUACCUAAUCAUUUGGGAAUAAAACUUAAAGUUUGAAAAGAAAUACCUACAUGAUUGGCAUCAAGGUGGUGUUCCCUCUUCUCCCAAAGAAAAAAGUCCCCUAUCAUCUAAGGAAUGUCCACCAAGUAAUAAGCAUAUACCAAGUUAUAUGGCUGGCUGGCUGUAUUGAGCUGUUUUGUUCUUAAGGGGUGUGUUGCUUCUAACACACAGAGAGAGUCUCUGCUGAAUUAAAAUCUUUCUCUGCAGCAAUAUCUAUUGAGAGGUGCUGACUGUUUUGCUACAGCAUGCAACUCAAAAGUGGCUGGAAAUAAGCAGCUUUGGGAGUCUACAGAUCAUUGCAGGAGCUAAAGGUCUAGUCAUUAUUUUUUUAAACAAAGGUAAUCUGCAGCAGCUGAUAACCAUGGAAGUCUCUGCACAGGUUUGUGCCAAGAAUAUGCCUGUGUGAAGGGUUAUUGUGAGUAUAGGUUUAAGGUCUUCCUGUUUUGUAAUAGGGUAAAUUUAAUGCAAACCAGCAAGAUGAGAAAUGAGAUUCAAAGAUACAAUAAUGCAUUAUACUUUACCGAACUUCUGAAAUCUAGAUUUGUUAGUGAGAUGAUACAGGUAUUUUAAUUUCAAUAGGCAAAUGUUGAAAACAGUCAAAAUCCUGCAUUUGUAAAGUAUUUAAUAAUACUUACUAUGAAAUUUCACUUCCUUUUCUUUAUUUCAACCAACCAAAUAUCCUUCAAUGAAAUUUCUGAUCAGAACUAAAACUUUCUAGGAAAAUUAUGAAGGAAUUGCUAGAUAAAUUGAUUAUUUGAAUUAAAAUGAAAAUGUACAGUAUUAACAUUUUAUUUUUCUUGAACUUGAAUUUUUAAAGUCAUAGUUGGGCUGUUGGGAUGGCUCAAGUGGUAGAGUGCCUGCCUAGUAAGUGCAAGGCUGUGAGUUCAAACCCCAGUACCAUCAAAAAAAAAAAAAAAAGUUGUUGUUUUAUGAGAUUUUAAAGUCCCAGCCAUUAUAACUAUGACUUUCAUAUACUUAGAGUAUUUGGAAAACAAAACUAUGUAAAGAUAUAGCCCAAUGUGGGAUUCCAUCAUAGUUACCAGAAUUGGUUGGUGUGAUUUAGGAUAUGUAAUCCUUUAUGACUUCUGUCAUAGCUUAAAAAUGAGAAGUCAGGUGGGAGUAUGAUGUUCACUUAUACGAAAAGCAAAAUGCCUGCAUCAUAGACUUAAAAUAUGCUCUCAUGUUGCAUCUGGAAGUGCAACUACCCAUCAGCCAUUAGUUGGUCUUUGCUUUACCUGACUGAUUAAAAUCCUGCCUUAAUCAUUGUCAGUUUGAUUUAGUAGGUUUUUCAAAAUUAGUGUAAGUUUUCAAACUCUAGUUGCUGAUGUCUAGUUUGCUUAUGUAGGGAUUUAGAAGUAUAUGCAUAAUUGGAUUUUUGUCAUGUUGCAUAUCUGUUUAGAUCUGUGGACUCCACUAGUUCCAAACUGUAACUAUAUAAAGACUGAUGAUUUGACAUUUAGCAGUGACCUUAUGUGAACUGCACAAUAAAUAAUGUGCUUCUUGGAGCUGAAUGGUGUAGCAUUACUAUAUGGCUUUUCUCUCUAGUCUUCAUUGUGUCAUCUGUAGUGAGCUAUAGAUUUCUUUUUUUUUGUUUUGGAAACUUUUACAACUUGUUUGCAUGGGUUCACCUGGUAGCAUUUGGUUCUUGCUUAUAGAGUCUUUAAUACACAAUCAGCAAAGCUUACAAUCCACUCAAGAGACUUAUUAUUUUUGUCACUGUUGAAAAUGGACUAAAUUGUAUAAAUUGGAUGUGGCUGUCAAUUUUUAAUUUAAAAAGGUUGAUAUUUUUUCAGUAUGUUGGCAAUUGUGUACAAUACACAUUUCUUGAUUUCAAAGAUUUUCCCAUUUAAAAAUUUUGUCUCUCACAUAAUAGAGAAGAGCAAAGGUUGGAAAUACAACAUCUUUAAUUAUACAUUUAAGUUUAGAGAUAGGAAAAAAAAAGGUCAAUAGGAGUAAUUGGUUAAAAAAAAAACUUUUGUAUUUUCCUUUUUUAACCACAAGUAGGAGAGCUUCAUUUUCAAACAAGGAACGUGCCACACAGCCACCAUUUUGAAACUCAAGCACAGAGUCUUAACAUAUGGGGUGGUUUGUUGGAACCCUGUGAAUGAUGUAGAAAACCAUUUUUCUUGUGUGUGUGUUACUCCCCCUUGGGCAAAAUUCAUUUGCUUUACUCUAUAGUUUAAAUUUAGAUUUUCUUUGCAAUUCUUACAUAUAUGUUUAAAUUAUAAACAACCUACCACAAUCACACACUGUGUUAAUUGUAAGCUAGAACUGUUUAAAGAGAAAAAAAAGUUAUUUACUUUUGGUUUUAUGAGAGUAUAAUUCAAAACCUCUGUUUGUUUAUUUAUUGGGACUAGAGUUUGAACUCAGAGCUUUGUGCUUGCAAAACAGUUGCUCUACCACUUGAGCCACACCUCCUGUCCAUUUUGCU